GCUGAAGAGUCCCAUAAUAGGACGAAACGGCCGUCC
rnacentral:hammerhead_ribozyme from 1 species